GUGGGGAAUAUUCCGCAAUGGACGAAAGUCUGACGGAGCAACGCCGCGUGAGUGAUGAAGGUUUUCGGACUGUAAAGCUCUGUUGUUUAGGACGAAAGUGCCUGUUGCAAAUAGUUACAGGUAUUGACGGUACUGAACGAGGAAGCCACGGCUAACUACGUGCCAGCAGCCGCGGUAAUACGUAGGUGGCAAGCGUUGUCCGGAAUUAUUGGGCGUAAAGAGCAUGUAGGCGGGAAUCUAAGUCUGUUGUGAAAAUGCGGGGCUCAACCCCGUAUUGCGAUGGAAACUGGGUUUCUUGAGUGCAGGAGAGGAAAGGGGAAUUCCCAGUGUAGCGGUGAAAUGCGUAGAUAUUGGGAGGAACACCUGUGGCGAAGGCGCCUUUCUGGACUGUGUCUGACGCUGAGAUGCGAAAGCCAGGGUAGCGAACGGGAUUAGAUACCCCAGUAGUCC
rnacentral:rRNA from 1 species